AGACUCCCUGCUGCUCGCUGCCCGUCGGGCGGGCACUGUGACCUUGGGUGGAGACUGGUCUGGUUCUGCCAUGGCUAAUCCUCCCCUCUCCAAGGAUCCCCUGUUUUCUCUUGCAGAUUUGCUAAAUGACCGCGCAGUCUGUCAUCUGCGGUGUUCGCGUGACCCUCAGCGCCCUCCCCACCCGGCAGGCCCUUUCCCGCCGAAUGGGUGCGGCUGGAUUAUUGAGGGAGUGGAGGGUCGCUUAGGGCACGGGCACGAGAGGCGAGGGCGAGACGUGGCUAAUGGGGAUCAAGAGUCAGAAUGGACCCGCCAAACUUUGCCCCGAGCCAGAACGGGCUCCCUACCCGCGUCCUCGACCCAUGGGUCCUCACCUCCAGGCUGGUGUCCUCAUUUUACAGUGGAGGAGGCCGAGACCAAGGGGCUUGGCGGGGACGGAACGGUGAGGUCAGAGAAUGCUGCAGAGGGGACAUUGGGACCAGGUCUUGCAGUGAGUUGAAGUGCUCCAGGCAGAGAGCGCCGGUGGGUCUUUCCUGGCCAGGCCGCAGGGGGCCUUUGGGAAGCACCCGAGGCCUAUAACCUUCGGAGCGUUUGUCAAGCUCUAAUGAGAACUGGAAAGCUUCAGCUUCCCGAGGUGGGCUGGGAGGGCCUUAGGUAGGGCCUCGCACAAAUUGCGAAGGAAAGCCGACCUUGUUCUGGAGAGCACGUGGUGAGGAAAGCCAGCGACUUGAUGUGAGCAUUUAAACGGGAGGAAGGAAGAUGAGAACUGGUAAGAUUCUUCUCGGCCGGGCGGUGCAGCGGCUCACGCCUGUAAUCCUAGCACUUUGGGAGGCCGAAGCCAGGCGGAUGACUUGAGUUCAGGAUUCGGAAGUUUGAGACCAACCUGGGCAACAUUUCAAAACCCCCGUCUCUACAAAAAAUAUUGUUUAAAAAAAGCCAGGUGUAGUGGCACGCGCCUGUAGUCCCAGCUACUUGGGAGCUGAGCUGGGAGUAUCACUCAGGACGGCUCAGAUUGAGCCCAGGAGUUCCAAGCUGCAGUGAGCUAUGAUCGCACCACUGCACUCCUGCCUGGGUGACACAGACACCGUCUCAAAAAAAAAAAAAAAAAAAAAGCCGGGCGCGGUGGCUCACGCCUGUAAUUCCAGCACUUUGGGAGGCAGAGGCGGGCG
rnacentral:lncRNA from 1 species